rnacentral:rRNA from 1 species
CUCCAUAGGUAUGGGGAUCUGGAAUUGACCCCAUACUCAAAGGGAAACCGCCUAAGGAUGGGUCUGCGGCCUAUCAGAUAGUAGUGGGUGUAAGUAACCCACUAGUCUUCGACGGGUACGGGCGAUGGAAGUCGGAGCCCGGAGAUGGGUUCUGAGACAAGAACCCAGGUCCUACGGGACGCAGCAGGCGCGAAAACUUCACAAUGCUCGAAAGAGCGAUGAGGGUAUCUUGAGUGUUCUUCCUUUUUUGGAAGAACUGUUCUCCUCUGUAAGUAGGAGGAGGAGAAAGGGCCGGGUAAGUUGGGUGCCAGCCGCCGCGGUAAUACCUACGGCCCGAGUGGGGGUUGCUAUUAUUGAGCCUAAAACGUCCGUAGCCGGUCUUGUAAAUUCCUGGGUAAAUCGUAUUGCUCAACAAUACGACUCCUGGGAAGACUGCAAGACUUGAGACCGGAGGAGGCUCGAGGUACUCUGGGAGUAACGGUGAAAUGUGUUGAUCCUCAGAGGACCACCUGUGGUGAAGACGUCGAGCUAAGACGGAUCUGACGGUGAUGGACGAAGCCUGAGGGCGCGAACGGGAUUAGAUACCCCGGUAGUCUCAGGUGUAAACGCUGUGGAUUUGGUGUUGGGUAACCUUCGAGGUUACCCUGUGCCGGAGGGAAGCCAUUAAAUCCACUGCUUGGGGAGUACGGUCGCAAGACUGAAACUUAAAGGAAUUGG